rnacentral:rRNA from 1 species
ACGCACGCUGGCGGCGUGCUUCACACAUGCCAGUCGCACGGAAAGGCCCUGCUUUUGUGGGGUGCUCGAGUGGCGAACGGGUGAGUAACACGUGAGUAACCUGCCCUUGACUUUGGGAUAACUUCAGGAAACUGGGGCUAAUACCGGAUAGGAGCUCCUGCUGCAUGGUGGGGGUUGGAAAGUUUCGGCGGUUGGGGAUGGACUCGCGGCUUAUCAGCUUGUUGGUGGGGUAGUGGCUUACCAAGGCUUUGACGGGUAGCCGGCCUGUGAGGGUGACCGGCCACAUUGGGACUGAGAUACGGCCCAGACUCCUACGGGAGGCAGCAGUGGGGAAUAUUGCACAAUGGGCGGAAGCCUGAUGCAGCAACGCCGCGUGCGGGAUGAAGGCCUUCGGGUUGUAAACCGCUUUCGCCUGUGACGAAGCGUGAGUGACGGUAAUGGGUAAAGAAGCACCGGCUAACUACGUG